UUUUGAUCUUCAACUAAUACGUGGGUCAAUUAAGUGAAAAUUUCUUAAAAAUGCCUGGUCAACGACGUUUUCAAGAAGGUCCAUCAAUGUUGCUACAAAUGGAUUGAUCCCAUUUUAUAAUGGCUGGAUAAUAACUCAUGGACUGCUUGAUUCCAGGACGGUGCUCGAUUCCAGGACUCUGAGAUCAUGAUCUGAGCUGAAGGCAGAUGCUUAACCAACUGAGCCACCUCUCCAAGUGCUUUUCGAACUCUUUCUUCAAGAUUUUUUUAUUCGAGAGAGAGAGAGAGAGAGAGAGAGAGAGAGAGCGCAGAGACACAGGCAGAGGGAGAAGCAGGCUCCCCACAGGGAUCCUGAUGUGGGACUCAAUCCUGGAUCCUAGGAUCCUGCCCUGAGUCAAAGGCAGGCACUCAACCACUGAGCCACCCAGGCGUCCCUAACUCAAAACUUUUGGAAGCUAACUGGCUAAAGGUCAGGGGCAUAUUUCAUCAUGCUACCACUGUCUCCACAGAGAACUUAACUGUUACGAAAAUAAUCAAGAAUUCUGAACUUCUGAGUGUUGAGAAUUCAGCAAGCAAAAAAAUAAUCCUACACUUAUUUAAUAUAUAAUAUUAUCUGACGCUUUCCUGAAACUACAUGUACAUUCAUAGUAGUGAUUUUUGCAGAGAAAUGAAGAAUUCAGAACCUGGCCACAAGUUCAAGAUGAGCUUCAAGGAAUAAAAAUUCAAAGAUGUUAGAACAGAAUUCCAGCAUCACCAGACCAAGGUAAUGAAGCUACAUAGAUUUUUUUGUCCUGUCACGUUGAGUUCAAGGGUAGAAAAUAAUCUAUGGGCGCCUGAGCGGCUCAGUAGGUUAAGCAUCUGACUUGGUUUCGGCUUUGGUCAUGAUCUCAGGGUCAUUGAGAUGGAGUAGGGGCUAUGCAUUCAGCAUGGAGUAUGAGAUUCUUGUGCACCCAUGUGCUUUCUCUCACUCUAAAAAUAAAUCUCUAAAGAAAAAGAUCUUGUCAGAUAGAAGGAAAAUGUGACCACAAACAGACUUAGUGGCAAUUACACAUUUUACGGACAAUAAAUCUACAAGUAAGAUUUUUCAAAACAACAUAUCUUUUUCAGGUGGGGAAAAAACUCAUUAAAUUGCUCUAGAUGUUGUGACAGAAUAUGUUACAGAAGCAAAACUGCUGAGAGGAAAUUUUGAUGAUUUGAAAAAUUGGGUCCAUGGUCUUUCCUUACAAAAAGGAAUUCUUCAAUAAUUUUAAUAAUUCCAGAAGCUUUUUACACCUCUUUAAAUCUUGACUACCAUCAUUUCAUAAAAGAAAAGAUAGGUGGAUCUGUGAAGUUAUCUAUGCCAAAAGAUCCCAUUACACUUAAAAUCUUUAUUAGGAGCUCUAAGCUUUAGAACUGAUUAAGUCCACGACAUUUUAUCAGUCACUUAAAUUUCUGGAGUCUGGUAACUCUUCUGUAAGUAGUGAGACGAAACUACCUUACCCUGACCAUGUUGUGGGUUUCUAAUGAGAAUCAAAAGUGAGGAAAAAUUUUUGAUAAGCACUGUUCUUAUGCAAAUGGAUAUCACUUAUUAUUAGUUAUUGGUAUUGGAAAACAGUUCAGACUCUGCUGCUUGGUGGACCCGGAAUCUUGGUGCUCGUCUCCCUUAGGGAUCAACCCAUGACUUUGUAUUAUCCAUAUGGAACCAACUAGUCUAAGGGUCCAAACUAGAUAGAGGAAUCUCCUUUGCAUAGGUUUAUCAUGAAAUCUAGGUUUUCAUUAUUUUGGACUACUAUUUCACAAGGUCUCUAAUAAGGAUGCCCAGUCUCCUAGUAUCUGAGUGUUAGCAGAAAUAGUCAUUGUAUACUGUUUAAAGUGCUCAUCAAAUAUCUAUCAAGUCCUUUGCACAUACUGUUCCAUCACUGAACACUGAUAAAUAAGCAGUAUAUAAUCUAUAAAAAGUCACAAGUGUCUAUUGCUAUGCAUUCUGAGCUGUAUAUUCUGUAUUUAUAUUAUGGGAACAUGGACUCGGACUUGCAGGUUGCUCAUAAAUUCCAGGAUUGCUCCACCACAUCCAUAGCAGAUAGAGGGCCAUCCCCAGCACCAGCUCUACCCAUAGGAUUUGCUCCUCUUCCUCCAACUACUUGACCUCUACUAAAUGGUAUCCUAUAUCCACCACCAUUAUCUUUGUUCGAGGAUCUCCUGCUCCAUAAUCAUAUUAUCUGCUCUAAAUUAUGAAAUGAAGCAGAAAUAAAUGUAUAAACCUGAGCCCUAUGUAUUGGUUCUUGAAUAGCAGUACUACAUUCUCCACAGAAAGUCAAAUAAUCCAAGGCAGAAACCCUAACUAGGGGUUUCUGGCAUCUUCUAGCCACUGGUAGUCAUUAAUGUGCAAAUAACUGCAUAACUCUGUACAAGUACAGUAUUAUAUUAGAGAAUAUGAUUGCUGACUCUUUCCCUUUCCUUUAUGAACUCACCAUUUUAUGUUUCUAUUUCAGUACAGUAUCUAAAUAAUUGGAAAUUCCACAAAGAUUAUGAAAUUGACGUAGAAGGUAAAAGGGAAUUAAAGUGGUGUAAGGAUAAUUGUAUUAGUUCCUUAAGGCUGACAUAACAAAUUACCACAAACUGAGUGGUUUGUAAUAAUAAAAAUUUCUCACAGUUCCAGAGGGCAGAAGUCCACAAUCAAGGAGUUGGUAGGGCCACACUCUCUAGAGGCUAUAGGAGACAAUUUCUUCUGCACCUUCCAGAACUUUUGGCAUCCCUUGGUUCAUUGCCACGUAUCUCUGUUCUGUCUUUGCAUUGCCUUCUUUUCCUAGUGUCUGUGUGUAAACUUCCCUCUGCCACAAGUAGAUACAAGUGGUUGCAUUUAUGGCCAGCACAACUGAUGUUUGCAUAUUGAUCUUAUGCUCUGCACCUUUGCCAAAUUCAUUUUUUAUUUAUUUAUUUUUUUUCAAAUUCAUUUUUUAGCUCUAGUUUAUGUGUGUGUAUUCUUGGGAUACUCCAUGUUCUUAGAAUCAUGUCAUCUGCAAAAAGACUUUCCAAUUUGAAUGGCUUUUAUUUUUCUCACCUAAUUUUGCUAUGGCUAAAAUUUCCAGUAAAAUUUUGAAGUGGCAAUAAUGGGCAUCUUUCUGUUCCUCAUGGGAACGAUUCCAGUCUUUCACCAUUAAGUAUGACAUUGGCUGUGGGGUUUUCACAGGCAGAGGGAGAAGCAGGCUCCAUGGAGGGAACCUGACUCGAUCCUGGGUCUCCAGGAUCACGCCCUGGGCUGAAGGCGGCGCUAAACUGCUGAGCUGCCUUACAUAUGUCCUUUAUCAUGCUGAGGAAAUUCCUAUCUUAUUAUCAUAAAAGGGUUUGUUAAGUGGUUAUUCUGCACCAAUUGAGAUGAUCAUGUAGUUUUUUCAGCUUCAUUCUAUUUAUGUGAAUAUUACAUUGGUCAAUUUCCUUAUGUUCAUCCCCCCUUGCAUCCCUGGAGUAAAAUUCACUUGUUCUUGGUGUAUAAUUUUAAAAUAUAUGCUUGGAUUAUGUUUGCUAGUAUCUUGCUGGGGAUUUUAAUGUGUAUAGUCGUAUAAGAUAUUGGUCUGUAAUUUUGUGUUACUUUUGCCUGGCCAAUUUGGUAUCAGAAUAAUGCUGUCUCAAGGAAUGACAUAGGAUGUUAUGAUGUUAUGACAGUUAGUCUUAUGUGUGCCAACAUGGCUAAGCUAUGGCACCUAGACGUUUGGUCAAACACCAGUCUAAAUGAAUGACAGUAUAAGUGAAGGCAUUUUUAGAUGAGAUUAACAUUUCAGCAAUUAAAUCAGAUUACUAUCUACAAGACAGGUAGGCUUAAUCCAAUCUGUUCAAGGCCAUCUGAGAAAAAUGAUAGAAGUCCCACAAGGAAGAGGGACUUCUAUCUCCACACUGCUGUAACACUCCAUCUCAUGGAUCUCAAGCAUGCCAGCCUACUAUGUAGAGUUUGUACUUCUCAGCCUCCACUAUCACAUGAGCCAAUUUCAUAAAACAAGUAUCUCCUCCUCUGUAUAUGGUUCCUUUUCUCUGGGGAACUCUGAUACAGAUGUGUUCCCAAUUUAUUAGUAAAGAUUUGAGGAUUAGUGCCAAUUCCUCUUUAAGUGGUAAAAUUUACCAAUGAUGAUAUAUCGUCCUGGAAUUGUAUGUGCUAGAUUUUAAUUACUUAAUCAAAACUUGUAAUUACUAUAGGUCUGUUAAGGUCAUCUCUAUCUGG